rnacentral:rRNA from 1 species
GACGAACGCUGGCGGCGUGCUUAACACAUGCAAGUCGAACGGUGAAGCUCCAGCUUGCUGGAGUGGAUCAGUGCCGAACGGGUGCGUAACACGUGAGCAACCUGCCCCAGACUCUGGAAUAAGCGCACGAAACGGCGCCUAAUACUGGAUACGAGAUCAAGUCGCAUGGUUAGGGUGUGGUAUGUUAUCCGGUCUGGGAUGGGUUCGCGGCCUACCGGCUUGUUGGUGAGGUAAUGGCUCACCAAGGCGACGACGGGUAGCCGGCCUGAGAGGGCGACCGGCCACACUGGGACUGAGACACGGCCCAGACUCCUACGGGAGGCAGCGGUGGGGAAUAUUGCACAAUGGGCGAAAGCCUGAUGCAGCGACGCCGCGUGAGGGAUGACGGCCUUCGGGUUGUAAACCUCUUUCAGCAGGGAAGAAGCGAAAGUGACGGUACCUGCAGAAGAAGCACCGGCUAACUACGUG